AUAUCUCACUAGCCUCGAUCCCAGGCCGAGUUUUCGCUUUUAUAACGGUUAGGCGAACAACUGGGCCUGGUACUAGUUGUCUGCGCAUGCGUCAGUCGUUCGUCAGAUUCUGACGAAUGGAUAUUCUCGUUCACUUUCGUGACAUUUAUAUUCGUGUACUAUCGUGUACUAGAAGUCAGUUCCCGUUUUAUCAUUAUUGGAAUGGCUCUUAGCUGAAGCUUCUCUCUUCUCUGAAGCUUAGAAAACAUUAUUCUGAAGACUGAACAACAAGGGAAAAGGUAUAAAGCUUUGUCAAGCUUGUUAAGGUCAGAUAUUUUUGUGUGGGCCCUAUGCUAUCAUGUCAAGUCGUGUUCAUGUUUGGUAUUAAAAGAUCUAUAGUAUCAUCAUUAAUAUGGUGGAUCAAGUGAAGAGUGUGAGCUAGAGAACUUGGUGCUGCCAUCAUCAGCUCGUCGACAAUGACAGGAGCAAUGGAUACUAUCCAGCUAUCCCAACAUUGUUCCUCUUGGCCAUACUAACGGACAAGACUGGACAGUUUAAGGACUGGAGUAUGACCUGAUCGUUCGAGUGUUGCUGGGUAGCUCAGAGGCAUCAAGAGAAUCUACGUUUUCUCAAGCAAAGUUUAACUGAGUUACAAGUUGGGGCCUAGAAUCAGAGAAGUCCAGCAGCCUGCUAAAUCGUUGAAACGUAAUUUGAAGGCAUUCAAUCAUCUUGAAGUUGCCCUGGGUCACUGUAAUCAUGCUGCAGCACAACUGGCAACUCCCCAGGCCUUUGUGAAGCAGCUCCCUAUGUGCACCUUUUGUGUACUCACUCACUCUGUGCAUUUUCUGUGUACAAAUUUCGAUUAUUGAUUUAUUAAAUAUCUUUGCCGACCACAAAUACAAUGAAAAUUUGACGCAUGCGCAGACAACUAGUACCAGGCCCAGUUGUUCGCCUAACCGUUAUAAAAGCG